GUGGAUGUUAUCUUGUAAAUUUUGAGCAUGUACUAUGGGAAACCUACCAUCAAUAUGUUGCAUUCAAAGAUAACCUCCAUUUUGCAUGUCCUUCCCAUUCCACAAAUCAUAUAAUAAUAGUUUUCUGGUGGUAUUUAUGAGGAACAAAAAGCCUUAAAUAUCUUUGGUUUCAAUAUGGCUUCAAUAUUUAAUUGCUAUUUUGUUAUUGACUGGACACUAGUUCCAAAAAUAUAAGAUUUGGUGGGCUAAUGCAUUGUGAUAUAAUGAUGUCAACACUUUGUGUAGGU
rnacentral:misc_RNA from 1 species